GGAGUCUUGGAGGAGCCCUGAUGAAGAAGCAGGAACAACACUGGUGUGAAGAGCUGCUUGUGAGAAAAUCACCUAGAAGAUGUUGAGCUUUUCUGUCAGAUGGGAUCCUCCAGCUCCUCUGCAGGACAGCCUUCCUGGACACUGCUGUUCUGUUGGAGAGGAUUCCUCAGCACCCUCCCAAGACAUCACUGGGAAAGGAAGGUGGGAGGAACAGCAAAGGUUGAGCUGACUUCAGGACUGAUGUGAUCCUGCAGUUGACAGUGGGAGGCUUUUUUGCUCCUUUUUCAAUAACAUUUGCUGCUGUUGGAACUGUCAGUAAAGUGGGGGAAAGCAAUUAAUAUUUUCUCCUCUGUCUUUCACAAAAUCCUUACUUUUCUGCAAGCAAAGCUCUUGAAAGAAAUCAUAGUUCACCUUGAGGAACAAUAGGAGAAAAAAGAACUAUAAGAACUCUCUACAUGUCCUUUGCUCAUUAGCAAUGACACACUGUGGAGGAAAGAUAUCCCACAGCACAAGUUUUGUAAAUACAAUUCCAAUAAAAUCUAAUUUCAGGAAGAAUAAAAAUCAGAAAAGGCAGUUAAUUGGACAUUUCUUUUGAAAGCUGCUUUUUCUUCAACUUUUUGUAUUACCAAGUUCAGCCAAAAUUUUUGACAGCCUGAAAGUGCAACGCAGAGAGGAAUCAUUAUACUUUUUGCCCAUUAGGUGGAAUGGUUUUUUAAAGAAAAUAUACAUGCCCCUUUUGCAGAAUUUGCUGAGGAAGGUGGAAAUCUGCCCCUGUGAAUGCCUCGCCAAAGUUCCAUUUAUUCUGUUCUGUGCACCACUGAUGUCCUGAGCCAAAAGGGAAGCAGCAGGAAACCACGACCCGUGCUCUGAGCAGUCAGACCAAAUCAGGCAGUUUGAUUUUCACAAGGUGAUGAGCUGCUCUGGCUGCCACUGGAACCCCCAGCUGCCUUCCUCUAGGGCAUUGUGCAUCCACGUAGGCAGGAGAAUGCUGCCCUCAGCACUGGGUGUCCUGGGAACAAAUCCUUUUCCAAGCACUUCCAAGCAUUUCCAAGCAUUCCAUUUUCCAGCAUUUCCAAGUAUCUGCUGGUCCUGAGUCUCCACCUGAAGCUGGGAUUGGGUGACCCUAAAAAGCUUUUAGAAGCUCACAAAGACAUUUGUAGGGGUUUGCUUUUAAUUUUCCUCUUCGGUAAAAUUGCAAAAAAGCAAAACUCACACUGUUGCAACCAGAUUUAGUGUUUCGUUCCUGUUUUGAAACCUUCAAUCUCCACUGCGUUAAAUCUACUUUAAAUCUGAAUUAUUUUUCAAUGUAAAUUAUUAAAGCACAUAAAGGGCAGUGCCUGAAAAAACAAGCUGUAUUCAUGGUCUGAUUUUUGAAGCUUUAAGUAAUGAAAAUCCAGCUCUCCUUGGGUUGCGUAGGUGCUCAGUAAGACUCUCUGAAUUCAUUACAGAUGAUGCACAAUGCCUGAUUCAUUUACAAGAGUGUUAAAGUUCCUAUGUAAAUGUCUUUGAAAUGAGAGUGUGCCUUAAAAAUGUUUAAGUCCUUGGGAUGGUUCAUAAGAAGCAAAUGUCUUUGAGAUGCAAAUAUUUCCUUUUUUCAGUGAAAGGCCAGCUGUACCCAAAAAGUC